rnacentral:rRNA from 1 species
UACGGAGGGUCCAAGCGUUAUCCGGAAUCAUUGGGCUUAAAGGGUCCGUAGGCGGUUUUGUAAGUCAGUGGUGAAAGCCCAUCGCUCAACGGUGGAACGGCCAUUGAUACUGCAAGACUUGAAUUACUAGGAAGUAACUAGAAUAUGUAGUGUAGCGGUGAAAUGCUUAGAUAUUACAUGGAAUACCAAUUGCGAAGGCAGGUUACUACUAGUGGAUUGACGCUGAUGGACGAAAGCGUGGGGAGCGAACAGG